GCCACUACAACCCUGCGAAAAGCAUAGAUAAGGGAUUUUUUCCAAUUAAAGGACAAUCGAAACGGGGUUCAAUUAUUUAAGAGAUUAGAGGCGAUGGACGGUUGAGAUCAAACGACGUCAGACAACGUCGUUGUGGGCGCCUGGGUUUUUUGGACCGGGCAAGGGGUUGGGUUUGGGUCUGUUUGAGUGGGUUUUGGCUACUUGGGCUGGAAAAUAUGGCCCAAAUCAAGGGUCCUCAAUAAGAGCCCCAAUAUAUGUACAUAUUUUCUCUUUUUGUAUUUUUUAUUUAUUUUCAUAUUCAAAUAUAAAAAUAGAAAUAAACCAAAAUAGAUUUAUCUUCUACAAAAUAAACUAAUUAACCUCUAAAAUAACCUACAUUAUAAAUUUAAAGGAAAAUAAACAAAUGUACGAAUAACAAUGUUUUGCUAUUUUUCUUUCUUUAUUCUCAAUAUUAACUAAUAAACCCUAAAAAAUAAAGAUUAAGUCCUAAAUGCAAAUAUGUCAUUUUUGUAUUUUUAUGAAUUAUGCAAAUUAAAACAUGCGACAUUCAAAUAAACACAAGAUUAUGCAAUUAAUUCCUAGAAUUCAAACAAACCCAAAAUCACGCAAAUAAAUACUAAAAAUUCAAAUAACAAAAGAAAGACGUAAGUAAACACGAAAUCACACAAUUAAUUCCCAAAAUUCAAAAAAAAAUCACACAAUUAAUUCCUAAUAAUUAAAAUAAUAAAAGAAAAAUCCUAAUAGUGAAUUUUAUAGGAACAUGUCAAGCGAAGAAAAAAUCACGUGCUCACAUCGAUAUUAUUCUAAAUGGGAUUAAUUAUUCGAUUAUCAGAGUCGCCACUUGGGAUAGUUUGUUUUGGUGUCCCAAGUCACCGGUUUAUUUUAAAUCCCAAAUCGAGGAAUAUUCAACUUUACUUUUGAAGUAGCGAACCAGAAAUUCUGUUAACCCGAGGAAAGGUGUUAGACACCUCCAGAUUCAGUGGUUCUAGCAUGGUCGCUUGAACAAGCAUAAUUGCCCGAUUAUCUGAUUUUAAUACAUGUAUUAAACCUAUGGUGAAAUUUUUAACUUAUUAACCGCUUUCAAAUUAUUUUUUAGGAAAGAUUCAUCGUUAUUUAAAAUAUGCCUUGAACCAUGCCACAUAAAAUACACCCGCGAUCCACGACACAUUUUAUUUAAUAUUGUUGAGAAUUGAAGUUGGGUCACAUGAAAUGCACACCCGAAUUUAAAGAAAUUAGUUUAAAUAGCGCACCUAAAACAACUACGCAUUUUCAAAUAUGCGAGGACCAUAAAAAAUUCUACUAAUAGUGCAACUUAAUUUUAAAAAAGUUCAUAUUAAUUAUCCGAGGGUCAUGAGAAAUUAUUUCAUCUAUGGAUUCAUAUUGUUGGCUACUUCCAAUUAGUCACCUUACUUCUGAACGCUAAGUACUAUAGGACACGGUCAAGUAUUCUUUUUUUUUUAAGAAUCUAGACCCGGUAAACUCAUUCAGAUAUAGUCAACAUGAAUCCAAAUGCAACAAUUAGUUUAUCAACCACUUCAAAUCCAUUAACAUUACAAAGUCUUUACAAUAACUAAAAGCCUUUUGUAUAUAUUGGGCGAGCGACAUAAAUUAAGGGAUAAAAAUUACAUUUUUCUUUUCCAAACUGCAUAGAAAACAUCACUAUAAGAUAAACCAUUACAAAUGCAACAUUGUUAUACUUUUUUGUUAAUCAUCAGAUCAACAAUACUUAUUGCCCCUUCAUGGUUCAUGAAACAACUACUGUCUUUCCCGCUUCAGGCUGCACGAUGGGCAUGUAUAUUGUUUUAUAUUCUCAACUUUAGCAAGAGUUGUCUUUAACACAUUUUGUGACGACCCAAAGGGUCAUCACCUGUUUUUAAUCAAAUUAUGUUCUUUCGAAAUUUUGAGAAUCUCAUUUAGAGUUGCCUCAAUUUUCAUGCGUAGUCCGAGCACGUAGCCGGAAAGUUUAAAUAUGAAAUUCUGUGAAAAAUACUAAGUUUUCUUGCUAAAAUGAAUAAAUUUGACUUCGGUCAAUAUUUUGGGUAAACGGAUCCGGACCUGUAAUUCGACGGUUCCGGAGGGUCCGUAGGAAAAUAUGGGUCUUGGGCGUGUGCCCAGAAUCAAAUUCCGAGGUUCUAAGCCCGAGAAAUAAAUUUUUAAGUGAAAUUGUUUCCUGAAAUUAUUUAAGGAAAUUUGAAAUGAAAUCUGAUUAGAAAGCAAUGGCAUCGGGCCCGUAUUUUGGUUCGGGUGUCCGGUAUAGGCCUUACGUAUGACUUGAGUCAUUCAUGUGAAAUUCGGUUAAAACGGAUGUCGUUUGACGUGAUCCAGACCUUAAUUUGGAAAUUUUGAUGUUUAAAGGAGUUUUGAGAAAUUUCAGUGAUCUUGAGGUUUAAUUCGAUGUUCGUGAUGUCAUUUUGGUGAUUUGAUUACACGAAUAUGUUCGUAGAAUAUUUUUGAAGUUGUGUAUAUAUUUGGGUAGGAGUUUUGAGGGCUCAAGUGAGUUUCGGGUAGGUUUUGGGAUGCCUUAGGCUUAGAAAUCAGAUGUUGCAGGUUCAUGAAGUUGCAGGCCUCUGAAUCCACUUGUGUUGUCCGCGAGAAAUUGCGUGUGACCGCGGAGGGGCCAGCGCGACCGUGGUCACCUUUGUGCGGUGCGCGAUGGAGGCUUUGCGGCCGCAGUCGCCUUUGUGCGGUCCGCACAGGGUGCUGAACUACAGGUCUCCGGGAAAGCCUAUAUGGCUGCGGUCCAUUUAGUGCGGUGCACACAAGGGUCUGCCAGAGGUAUAAAUAGAUGGGAUUUUCAGUUAUUUUUUAUUUUUCAAAACCCUAAAAACAUAAGAGGUUAUUUUUCAAGCAGCCUUUCUUCUCCAACCCAAUUUUAAGUCAUUUUUAACUAGUUUUCUUCAAUCAUUAACAUCUUUUAACAUGAUUUCGACUUAACAUCAAAGAGGGGAAAUUGAGUGUUUUGGGUAAAACCUAGGUUUUUAAAAAAUUGGGGAUUUGGACAUUAAUUUGAGGUCCAAUUUCAAAACAAAUUACAUAUUUGAAUUAGUGGGGGAAUGGAUAAUCGCAUUUUGGUUCGAACCCCGAGUUUUGACCACGUGGGCUCGGGGGCGAUUUUUGACUUUUGGGUAAAACUUUGGAAAACUCAUUUUCAUGCAUUGGGGUUGAUUUAUUUAGCGUUUAUUGAUGUAAUUAAGUAAUUUGUGAUCAGAUACGAGCGAAUUAGCAGUGGAAUCAAGGGGUAAAGCUAUAAUUGAAGCUUGAGUCGAUGUUCGAGACAUCGAGGUAAGUGUUCGAUUUUGUGAUUAGAUACAAACAAUUUGGCAGUGAAAUCAAGGGGCAAAGCUAUAAUUGAGACUUGAAUAGUGUUCAAGGCAUUGAGGUAAGUGUUCAGUCUACCCUAGCUUGAGGGAUUAGGAGUUGAGUCAUAUUUGCUAUCUUGCUCCAUGUUGAGUACGACGUAUAGGCAUGGUGACGAGUAUCUAUACAUUGGUGUCAAGUAUGACUGUUAGUUUUAAAUUGAAAGUUGUUGUGUUCUUAAAGGACAUUUCGGAUGCCUUAACUAAUGAUCUACCAUAUCGAGCAAAGAUUUAUUCAUCCUCGUAGAUCCUAUUAUGAUUGAGCAUUUUCAUUAAUCGAGCUGAGUAUAAGCUAAGUUGAGGUUGGUUAUAGCUGAUUCUCCCAUGUCGGGAUGUUUGUUUUGGUAUUGUUGUUCCCUUGCCAAAAAAUUAUUAUAUUGCUUUUGUUCCCUUGUCGGGAAGUUAUUAAAUUUCUUUGUUCCCUUGCCCGAAUAUCUUGUAAUUAUGUGGUGAUAAUGAAAUGGGAGCGGGCGGUAUGCCUACCACGAUAUAUAGUGAAAUAGGAGUGGGUGGUAGCCUACAACGGGAUAUAAUGAAAUAGGAGCAGGUGGUACACCUACCAUGAGAUAUAAUGAAAUGGGAGCGGGUGGUACGCCUACCACGAGUUAUAAUAAAAUGAGAGCGGGUGGUACGCCUACCACGAGAUAUAAUAAAAUGAGAGGGAGUGGUACGCCUACCAUGAGAUAUAAUAAAAUGGGAGUGGAUAGUACGCUACCAUGAGAUAUAAUGACAUGGGAGCAGGUGGUACGCCUACCACGAGAUAUGAUGAAAUGGUAGCGGGUUAUACGCCUACCACGAGAUAUGAUGAAAUGGGAGCGAGUGGUACGCUUACGACGAGAUAUGAGAACUGGGAUCGGAUUGCACGCCUGCAACAAGAUGAAAUUGAAAGUGAAAGUUGCCUUUAUUUCUCUUUAUCCAUAUUAGAAGUUAAAUUAUAGUUUCCUUAUUAUUCUUUGAUAUUAUGUUUAUCUGCCACCUCCACAACAUGUUCCCUUUCCGCAGCUUUAAUUGUUUAUUAUCUGUUUACUUUUCCACCAUAUAUUAUAUAACUGCAUAGGUUUAUCUGGAGUCUGGUCCUAGCCUCGUCACUACCUCGCCGGGGUUAGGCCAGACACUUACCAGCACAUGGGUUCGGUUGUGCUGAUGCUACACUCUGCACUUAUGUUCAGAUACUAGAGCAGUGUUUUGGCAGCGGUAUUAGUUCGGGAGCUAACCUUGAGUCCACCAAGACUCCGAGGUAGCCUUGCAGGCGUCCGCAGGCCCAACUCUCCUCUAUCUUAUAUUUCAUUUUGUUAUAUCAUGUAUUCGAGACAAACAAUGUUUAUUUCUUUCAAACGAUUGCAUUUAGUACUCUUAGCAGUCUGUGGAUGUUGUGACAUGCACACUCUGGGCACGUAGCCGGAAAGUUUAAAUAUGAAGUUCUGUAAAAAGUGCUAAGUUUGGAUGAUAAAAUGAAUAAAUUUGACUUUGAUCAAUAUUUUGGGUAAACGAACCCGGACCCAUGAUUCGACAGUCCGGGGGGUCCUAGGAAAAUAUGAGACUUAGGCGUAUGCCCGGAAUUGAAUUCCGAGGUCCCAAGCCCGAGAAAUGAAUUUUUAGUGAAAUUGUUUAAGUAAAUUUGAAAUGAAAACUUAUUACAAAGCGAUGGAAUCGGUCCUGUAUUAUGGUUUCGACGCCUGGUACAGGCCUUAUAUAUGACUUGAGUCAUUCCUGUGAAAUUUGGUUUGAAACGGACCACGUUCGAUGUAAUCCGGACCUUCAUUGGGGAAAUUUGAUGUUUAAAGGAGUUUUGAGAAAUUUCAGUGAACUUGAGGUUUAAUUCAAUGUUCGUGAUGUCAAUUUGGUGAUCUGAUUACACAAAUAUUUUCGUAGAAUGUUUUUGAAGUUGUAUGUAUAUUUGGGUUGGAGUUUCGAGGGCUCGGGUGAGUUUCGGGUAGGUUCUGGGAUGCCUUAGGCUUAGAAAUCAGAUAUUGCAGGUUCAAGAUUUGCAGGCCUCUGAACCUACUUGUGCGUCCGCGAGAAAUCGCAUGCAAUCGCGGAGGGGCAAAUGCAACCAUGCUCACCUUUGUACAGUGCACGUUGGAGGCUAUGCAGCCGCAUUCGCCUUUGUGCAGUCCGCACAGGGUGCUGAACUGUAGGUCUUCAGGUAAGCCUGUACGUCCAUGGUCCAUUUAGUGCGGUUCGCACAGGGGGUCUACCAGAGGUAUAAAUAGACGGGAUUUUAAGUUAUUAUUCAUUUUUCAAAACCCUAAAAACAUAAGAGCGAUUUUUCAAAGCAAACUUUCUUCUCCAAAUCAAUUGUAAGUCGUUUUAACUAGUUUUCUUCAAUCAUUAACAUCUUUUAACAUGAUUUAACUUAAAAUAAAGGUUUUUCAUGGGGAAAUUGGGUGUUUGGGUAGAACUUAGAUUUUUCAAAAAUUGAGGAUUUGAACCUCAAUUUGGGGUUCGAUUUCAAAACAAAUUGCAUAUUAAAUUUUCAUGGGGUACAUUGGGUGUUUUGGGUAGAACCUAGGUUUCCCAAAAAUUGGGGAUUUUGACCUCAAUUUGAGGUCUGAUUUCAAAAACAAAUUACAUAUUUUGACUUUUGGGUAAAACUUUGGAAAACUCAUUUUCAUGUAUUGGGGUGGAUUCAUUUAGCGUUUAUUGAAGUAAAUAAGUUAUAUAUGAUUAGAUACGAACGAACUGGCGGUGGAAUCAAGGAACAAACCCAUAAUUGAGACUUGAGUAGUGUUCAAGGCAUUGAGGUAAGUGUUCGGUCUAACCUUAGCUUGAGGAAUUAGGAGUUGAGUCAUAUUUUCUACUUGCUCCUUGUUGUGUAUGACGUAUAGGCAUGGUGAAUACGUCGGCGUCAAGCAUGACCGUGAGUCUUAAAUUGAAAGUUGUUGUGUUCAUAAAUGACAUUUCGGAUGCCUUAACUAAUGAUCUACCAUAUCGCGCAAAGAUUUGUUUAUCCUCGUAGAUUCUAUUUAUGAUUGAGCAUUUUCAUUAAUUGAGCUGAAUGCAAGCUAAGUUAAGAUUGGUUAUAGCUGAUUCUCCCUUGCCAGGAUGAUUGUUUUGAUAUUAUUGUUCCCUUGCCGGAAAAUUAUUAUAUUGCUUUUGUUCCUUUAUCGAGAAGUUAUUAAAUUUCUUUGUUCCCCACCCGGGAUUUCUUGUAAUUAUGUGGCGAUAAUAAAAUGGGAGUGGGUGGUACGCCUACCACGAGAUAUAAUAAAAUAGGAGCGGGUGGUAUGCCUACCACGAGAUAUAAUAAAAUGAGAGCGGGUGGUACGCCUACCACAAGAUAUAAUUAAAUGGGAGAGGGUGGUACGUCCACCACGAGAUAUAAUAAAAUGGGAGUGGGUGGUACGUCUAUUACGAGAUAUAAUAAAAUGGGAGCUACGCCUACCAGGAGAUAUGAUGAAAUGGGAGCGGGUGGUAUGCCUACCACGAGAUAUAAUAAAAUGGGAGCGGUGGUAUGCCUGCUACAAGAUGAAAUUGUAAGUGAAAGUUGCCUUUGUUUUUCUUUAUCCAUGUUAGAAGUUAAAUUACAGUUUCCUUAUUGUUCUUUGAUAUUCUGUUUAUCUGACACCCCCGCAGCAGGUUCCCCUUCCCCAGCUUGAAUUUCUUGUUACUUGUUUACUUUUCCGCCAUGUAUUAUAUAACUACAUAGGUUUAUCUGGAGUCUGAUCCUAGCCUCGUCACUACCUCGCCAAGGUUAGGCCAGACACUUACCAGCACAAGGGGUCGGUUGUGCUGAUGAUACACUCUACACUAAUGUGCAGAUACCGGACCAACGUUUGGGCACCAGUAUUAGUUUGGGAGCUAGCCUUCAAUCCACCGAGACUCCAAGGUAGCCUUGCAGGCAUCCGCAGGACUGGCAUCUCCUAUAUCUUAUAUUUCAUACUGUUAUCUUAUGUAUUCAAGACAAACAGUAUUUAUUUCUUUCAAAUGGUUGUAUUUAGUACUCUUAGUAGUUCGUGGAUGUUGUGACACCAAGUGCUGGGUAGAGACUUGUAUUGGUUUUUUAGACAUUUACUUCUAUAUUCAUUUAAGACUUCCGCUAAUCUUACUUUUCGCUAUUCUUAAAAUAUUUAUUCAUUACUAAUAUAAUUGGUUUAAAAUAAACUAAAACAAAAUGGGGUAAUGACUUCCAAGAUUCAUAGCUUGCACGAGUAGGCGCCAUUACGAUUCACAAGGAUAGAAACUCCGGGACGUGACACAUUUCUUUUAGCAACUUAAUAUCCAUUUGUAUUAAAUGAAUAACAAACAACAAGAAGGACCCAAUUUAUAGACUUUUUAAGCUACCUAUAAAACAAACAGAACAGUCAUCCAUACAUCAAAAUAUGCAAAUCAAGAGACCAUGGACACAAAUAAAGCACUUAACAAAGAAUAUAUAAGAUCACUUGUAAUGUUGAAACAAUAAGGAAAAAGAAAACGAACCUUUAUUAGCUUUCAAAAUAUAUAAAGAAAAGCACGCCGAAGAAGCUGAAAACGAACAAACCCGCUAACAGGAGACCACGUCGGAACAUCGAAACUCGCAAGAAAAGCGUGUCGGAAAACUUCGACUCGAAACCAACCGAAAAUGUUGUGUUUUAGGUGCAACGGGAUUCCUCUAAGAUGUGGUUUAAUGUAGUUCUUUGGCUGGUUUUUUAGGUCAUUUUUGGGUGUGUUUGGGGUUAUGGUCGCUGCUAGUUUUCAGCUGGAGUCCAAGUGGAUAAAAGUAAACUCACAUGGCUAAAAAUGGAGAAUGAAGAUAACUGGUUUAAGGGACUUUUCUAUGGUUUUGUACGGCUGCUUCAACUCCUCUAUCUAAGGGUCUCUAAUGGUGAUGAAGAAGAAGAAAAAGCCUGGGGGAGGGGAUCUGAGAUCUGUGUCAAAAUGGUGCUGAUUUGCUUUUCUUCUUCGAUGCCUUUUCAGAUUUUUUAGGCGUUUUUCUUCUUGUUUUCUUCUUCUGUGUGUGCAUGUGUUGUAUAGAAAGAGAUCUCUAAUUUUUGCCCUCAUUCCCCUCUCUAAAUUUUUCUUCUUCCA
rnacentral:lncRNA from 1 species